GAUGAACGCUAGCGGCAGGCCUAACACAUGCAAGUCGAGCGAGAAGCCCUUUCGGGUUCAGUAUCCGGCGCACUGGUGAGUAACGCGGUUGCAACCUACUUUUCACAUGUUUAUACCUCGAAGAAAUCUUGAUUAAUACCCCAUAAUAUUCUUGUAUGGCAUCAUUGGAUAAUUAAGACUGCGUAGGUGAAUGAUGGACAUGCGUCCUAUGAGCUAGUUGGAGUGGUAACCGCACACUAAGGCUACGAUAGCUAGGGGGACUGGCAGGGAGGUCCCCCACAAUGGUACUGAGACACGGACCAGACUCCUAAGGGAGGAAGCAGUGAGGAGUAAUGGUGAAUGGUAGGAAGACUGAACCAGCCAUGCCGCGUGAAGGAAGAAUGCCUUAUGGGUUGUAAACUUCUUUUAUAUGGGAAGAAUAAGGUGUAGGUGUACGUGGUUGACGGUAACCUAUGAAUAAGGAACGGCUAACUCCGUG
rnacentral:rRNA from 1 species